rnacentral:rRNA from 1 species
CCGGCACGGGUGAGUAACACGUAUCCAACCUGCCGUCUACUCUUGGCCAGCCUUCUGAAAGGAAGAUUAAUACAAGAUGGCAUCAUGAGUUCACAUGUUCACAUGAUUAAAGGUAUUCCGGUAGACGAUGGGGUUGCGUUCCAUUAGAUAGUAGGCGGGGUAACGGCCCACCUAGUCUUCGAUGGAUAGGGGUUCUGAGAGGAAGGUCCCCCACAUUGGAACUGAGACACGGUCCAA